CCUACGGGAGGCAGCAGUGAGGAAUAUUGGUCAAUGGACGAGAGUCUGAACCAGCCAAGUAGCGUGAAGGAUGACUGCCCUAUGGGUUGUAAACUUCUUUUAUAUGGGAAUAAAGUGAGGCACGUGUUCCUUUUUGUAUGUACCUUAUGAAUAAGCAUCGGCUAACUCCGUGCCAGCAGCCGCGGUAAUACGGAGGAUGCGAGCGUUAUCCGGAUUUAUUGGGUUUAAAGGGUGCGUAGGUGGUGAAUUAAGUCAGCAGUGAAAGUUUGUGGCUCAACCAUAAAAUUGCCGUUGAAACUGGUUGACUUGAGUAUAUUUGAGGUAGGCGGAAUGCGUGGUGUAGCGGUGAAAUGCAUAGAUAUCGCGCAGAACUCCGAUUGCGAAGGCAGCUUACUAAACUAUAACUGACACUGAAGCACGAAAGCGUGGGGAUCAAACAGGAUUAGAUACCCGGGUAGUC
rnacentral:rRNA from 1 species